rnacentral:rRNA from 1 species
UACGUAGGGUGCGAGCGUUAAUCGGAAUUACUGGGCGUAAAGCGUGCGCAGGCGGCGCCGCAAGUCAGGCGUGAAAUCCCCGGGCUUAACCUGGGAAUGGCGCUUGAAACUACGGUGCUGGAGUGUGGCAGAGGGAGGUGGAAUUCCACGUGUAGCGGUGAAAUGCGUAGAGAUGUGGAGGAACACCGAUGGCGAAGGCAGCCUCCUGGGCCAACACUGACGCUCAUGCACGAAAGCGUGGGGAGCAAACAGG